GUGGGGAAUAUUGCGCAAUGGGGGAAACCCUGACGCAGCAACGCCGCGUGAGUGAUGAAGGCUUUCGAGUCGUAAAACUCUGUCUUUGGGGACGAAUAAUGACGGUACCCAAGGAGGAAGCCCCGGCUAACUACGUGCCAGCAGCCGCGGUAAUACGUAUGGGGCAAGCGUUGUCCGGAAUCACUGGGAGUAAAGGGCGCGUAGGCGGUUUGUUAAGUCAGGUGUGAAAGUGUUCAGCUUAACUUGAAAAGUGCACUUGAAACUAACCUAAUUGAGUACUGGAGAGGUAAGCGGAAUUCCUAGGGUAGCGGUGAAAUGCGUAGAUAUUAGGAAGAACACCGGUGGCGAAGGCGGCUUACUGGACAGAGACUGACGCUGAGGCGCGAAAGCGUGGGGAGCGAACAGGAUUAGAAACCCCAGUAGUCC
rnacentral:rRNA from 1 species